UCACAUGCAGCAGAGGCAGGCAGAGCUGUGUUCAGCUUGAGAGAGAGCUUCUUAAUGGCUGAGAAGGAGUGCAGCAGCUCCAUGGUGUCUGUGGCACAAGCAAGAUAACCAUCAAGUUCAGCUGGACUUUGCAGCCUUCUGGAGACUGGUCUGGAGAAAAAAUCAUCUUCAUCAUGUGGCAGUAUAGAGACCUGUGGGUUGCCAUACCUAACUGGCAAUGGCACAGCCAACCACCGGAGGCGCACCCACCUAUAAAAGGGGCGAUCCCCCCCCCUGCCAGUUCUCUCUCUCUCGCUGCUUCCGACGGGUGACGUCAUUUCCGAGCCGGACGUUUUGCUUCGGACAGAGUGGCUGACUUGGUGCUUCCCAGGCUAGUGUGUGUGUCACCUAAAUGGCCUGCUGUGGUGGACGCCGGUAGCUGCGCGUUACCCUCUCCCUCUUCCUCUGGUGUGUGUGUCAUACUGGUCGAC